rnacentral:misc_RNA from 1 species
GCAAACUUGGUCAUUUAGAGGAAGUAAAAGUCGUAACAAGGUUUCCGUAGGUGAACCUGCGGAAGGAUCAUUAAAAAUAUAUAUAUCCAUCAACCUACCUCUUUGUGUGCAACUAUUGAAAAUAGUCAAUCUUUGGGUGAUGGUAAUUUUCCAUCUCCCAAAGGUAAUUUAAAAAAAAAUAUAUUAUUUGACUAAAAAUUUAAUAUAUAAUAUAUAAUAUAAAACUUUCAACAACGGAUCUCUUGGCUCUCGCAUCGAUGAAGAACGCAGC